CCCCUCGAUUUCCUGCUGAGCUUCGCCUAUAUAGGCCGGGCUCACCUUCGGGUGGCUAUGGCGAUAAACGGUGCGUGAAAUAAGCAUUGCGGACCCGGGGGCAGUGCCCGGCGUCUCCACCAAUCCGGCCCCGCGAGGGGCCAUCCCGCCAGGGAUCGUAUGGCGGGGCGGUAUGGGGACGACACAGCUUCGACGCGUGCGGUAAAGACGUAUCUUUUGCCCGGCAUUGUACCGCCGUUAUCGGGCUAUAUCACAAGUGCCAACGAUAACAGCCGCGAGGCUGUGGCGCUCGCUGCCUAAAAAUAGGUAAGCGCGGCCCGGGGGGAGCCGGGCAACAGAAUCCCCCCACU
rnacentral:tmRNA from 1 species